rnacentral:lncRNA from 1 species
CCCAAUGCCACUGCCAGGUCUCAGGGUUCCUGGUGCUGCGCCAAGGGCCUAGGGAGAGUAAGUAGCCCAAUCGAGGCUCAGGGUUCUGUUUCUCAUAAGGUGCCCUGGCCCAGAUGAGGAUCAAGGGCCAGGGACCAGGCCAAAGGGCCUGUAAAGGGCCAGGGUCCAGGAGGAAUGUGAUGUGAGGGCACAGUGGGGGGUCACAGUGGGUGCAGAGAAGAGCAAGUGUCAGGACCCAAUCAAGGAGCCCAGGUAAGGGACCGGCCCCACCAAAAUGUAUUAGGGACCCAAUGAUCAGGAGUCCCCUGCUCCAGGAAAAAGUGGUAGGGGAAGGAGAAAUAGGAUCAGCAUUAGGAUGAGGAGACAGAGGGCUUCGCAAAGGGCACAUAAGGGAACGAUUUUGGGGGCCAAAUCAAGGGGCGCCCAGGUCAGACAUGACAGGAAGAGACACCAGAGAAAGGAAUACAACCCAAGUAAUGGAUAAGGACCUCAGGCUGGCAGCCAGGCCAGGGGACUCUAGGGUGAAAGGUCAGGGUGAAGAAAAGCUGAGUUAGGUUAGGGGCAGCUUUCAAAGCUAGAGGGCAGGAGAGGGAAAGCAGGGGAUCGCCCAGAGUAAUGUCAUUACUUGGCCCAAGUCUACUACCAGUUGUCAACUUUGGGUGGCAAUGAGGGCCCAGACAACAGGCCCAUAGGGAUCCUCAGGGCCCAGAGGCCAGACAAUUCAAUUCUUCUGCCCCCGUUGAGUAGAUCCUCAGAGUGGGACCAGGACCAAAGGAGGGCAAUGUGAGGGAUGCUUUUAAUCGAGGAUUGGGGGGUGUUGGUGGGGAGCCAACAACCAUUGGAGGAGAUCAGCCUAAGGAGAAGCAGGGGAAGAGGAGGGUCCUGGCAAUUACAAA